rnacentral:lncRNA from 1 species
CGUCGCCGGAUUUGUCGUCCGCGUCUUAGCCGUCGGUGCUUGCAGCGUCGCCAUCCUCCAGGACAGCGGCAACAUCUGCGGAGGCUGCUUCAGCCAUGAACGUGCCAUCCGCGACCUCUUCAGCCGCCACGGCAGCCCGCGUGUCGACCGUCCUGCCCUGCUAGACAGGAAGCAGGCCGGCAUGACGCAUGACAAAACAUCGGCACAGGGGGAAAAACGGGGUUCAGAACCGAUUCCAAUUACAGAGAUUUGGGUUCAGACAGUAGUCCAAGCUCAGAUCAGGAGGGGAUGACAAGAUUCAGGAGUAGUUCAGUUCAUAUAGCUGAAUCAUCAAUCAUCCCAACACAAAUUGCAGCGAAAACGCCAGCCAGCUAGGCUCGACGUGUUUCAUCCUCUCCAUCUCAUCUACACCCUCGAGCGAUGCUGCCGGCCCCGACUUCCAUUCGAACUCGAGCACCGCACAGUCGGCCGCCGUUGCUCGCCUCAGCCACCGUCGGCCGUCGGCGCACGCCUCCCCGCGGUCUCUGCCAAACUCAACCGUGCUGCGCUGCUUGGUUUCGGAGGCAGGUGAGGUUGUAGAUUCUUAGCCUGCUGCUUUGGCUAGCUGAGUAGAUUUCGACCUGUUCCGGCGAUAUUCCGGCGGUUUUUUCGCUGAUUAAGUUAGCCGGACGAUAUAACAAAAAGGAACC